rnacentral:lncRNA from 1 species
AACAUGAUUCUAAAAUCUAUAAUUAAGUAUGAAUCACCAUAAACAAGAUUUAAAGCUUACCUAAGCAUCGUGAUUCAUGUUUUACGUGUUUUGCGUCCUUUCUGAUUCUUCGAAGUCUUGGAUUCUUCGAUCUUCAAUACUCCGCUCCGGACUUCUUCAAGACUCCGACUCGACCCACGAAACUUGCCAACACAUAGGACCUAACAA